GGUCAGUGCCAUACCGCACCGGCCCCCACAACCCCGAAACAUGACACCCCUCCGACUGAAAAUCGGAAGGUCGGCGGUUCGACCCCGCCCCUGACCA
rnacentral:tRNA from 1 species